CACAUGAUCAGGCAAAUGUUCAAGUAAGGAUUUUUUUUUUUCUUCCCUAUUUUGUUUUGACAUGCUUUUAUACUCAAGUGAUUUAAAAAAAAUGUGUUCCUUAAUAGUUAGAACUUAGGAAGCUUACAUGAAUUUUUGACGACCAAUUGGAUAACCAUCUCAUUAGUUAUGAGCAUACAUAUUUUCUUCCAUGUAAAAUGAUUACAUCCACACAUGGGUCAAGAUUUCUGUUUGCAAUCGUAUUUCAGUUUUGAUUUAACAAUUAAUUGGAUUUGAGUUGGCCUUAUUUAUGAUUCUGAAAUCUUAAUAAGCCAGCCUAAACCAUCCAGGCAUAUUUUUUGUGAUAACUUUGACAAAUAUUAGCAUGUAUGUUUGUGUUGUUUCAAUUGUAGAUGCAACAACUCGUUUUUAUUCUUAUAAUAAUCACUAG
rnacentral:misc_RNA from 1 species